CGCAACCUUAAUUUCAUUAGCAUAGUAGAAAAAUGCAUAAACACUUCAAUUAUGAGCAGAAGCAGCAUAUCUUAUUGUACCGUUUCCAAAAAUAUAAAUAUAAAUAUACAUUUGUGCUCCUUUACUAUACUAAUUUUUCAUAAGGGAAUUCUACCUAACAAACUAAAAAUAACAACAAUCAGAAAAUAACUUCCAAGAAAGAAACCGUAGACAAG
rnacentral:misc_RNA from 1 species